GUCGCCUGUUUAUCAAAAACAUGGCCUUUUGUUUAUGAGUAAUAUAAGAGGUUAGGCCUGCCCGGUGGUUUAUCUAAACGGCUGCAAUUAAUAGUUGUACAAAGGUAGCGAAAUCAGUUGUCCUUUAAAUGGGGAAAGGUAUGAAAGGUUUGACGAUAAAAAAGCUGUCUCUUAAAAAUAAUGUGAAGUUUCCGUUUAAGUGAAAAGGCUUAAAUUUUUAAAAAAGACGAGAAGACCCUAUUGAGCUUGAUUAAACUUUCUUAUAUAAGAUAGUUGAAGUUUUAUUGGGGCAAUAGGAAGCUAUGAGAAACGCUUCUUUUAAAGUGUGAAGAUCCUUCAAGGGAGAAAUAAGCAAAAGCUACCAUAGGGAUAACAGCGUUAUCUUUCUUGAGAGUUCUGAUUAAGGGAAAGGUUUGCGACCUCGAUGUUGGAUUAAAAUGUCUUUUUGGUGCAGCAGCUAAAAAAGUAAGACUGUUCGUCUUUUAAAAUUUUACGUGAUCUGAGUUCAGACCGGA
rnacentral:rRNA from 1 species